UCCCCAGUAGCUCAGUUGGUAGAGCAUGCGACUGUUAAUCGUAGGGUCACUGGUUCGAGCCCAGUCUGGGGAG
rnacentral:tRNA from 1 species